rnacentral:lncRNA from 1 species
CACCCGAAGUUGGAUUAAAGCCGAACUGAAGCCUAAAAUGAGGCGAUCUUUAAGACCAGACUAAGGAUGCCAAACUCUAUAAAGUCGGUCUUCGAGAUAUAAUUCCCCCCCAAGCUGAGUGUCGGACGGUCUAAUGUGAACUAGGUCGGUAAGCUCUUUCACCUCAUGCACACAAAGUCAAUGAUGAUUACUCUGCUUUUUAGCGAAAACUCCGAAGACUUGGAGACCCUACCUUUCAGAAGGCUGAGGGUCCCCCCUUUUGGUAGGAGGGUUCAGGACAGAUGGUGUUCCUGAUAAUGCUGCCCAAUCAAUGUGAGAUCGCUAAAGCUCGAAGGUAAAAUUGCAAGG